GACGAACGCUGGCGGCGUGCUUAACACAUGCAAGUCGAACGGAAAGGCCUCUUUCGGGGGGUACUCGAGUGGCGAACGGGUGGGUAACAAGCGAGUAACCUGCCCUUGUCUUUGGGAUAACUUAAGGAAACUGGGGCUAAUACCGGCCAGGAGCUCCAGCUGCAUGGAGGGGGUUGGAAAGUUUCGCCGGUUGGGGAUGGACUCGCGGCUUAUCAGCUUGUUGGUGGGGUAGUGGCUUACCAAGGCUUUGACGGGUAGCCGGCCCGAGGAGGUGACCGGCCACCUUGAGACUGAGAUGCGGCCCCGGCUCCUACGGGUGGCAGCUGUGGGGAAUAUUGCACGAUGGGUGGCAGCCGGAUGCAGCAACGCCGUGUGCGGGAUGACGGCCUUCGGGUUGUAAACCGCUUUCGCUCAUGACGAAGCUUUGUGUGACGGUAGUGGGUAAAAAAGCACCGGCUAACUACGUG
rnacentral:rRNA from 1 species